rfam:Gossypium hirsutum cultivar TM-1 chromosome 5, whole genome shotgun sequence
UCUUCAAUAGCUCAACAGUAGAGCGGUCGACUGUUAAUUGACUGCUCGUAGGUUCAAAUCCUACCUGAGGAG